UGAGGAAUAUUGGUCAAUGGGCGAUAGCCUGAACCAGCCAAGUCGCGUGAGGGAAGACGGUCCUAUGGAUUGUAAACCUCUUUUGUCGGGGAGCAAAACCUCUGUGAUGAGAGGAUCGAGAGUACCCGAAGAAAAAGCAUCGGCUAACUCCGUGCCAGCAGCCGCGGUAAUACGGAGGAUGCGAGCGUUAUCCGGAUUUAUUGGGUUUAAAGGGUGCGUAGGCGGUAUGUUAAGUCAGCGGUAAAAUUGAGAGGCUCAACCUCUUCGAGCCGUUGAAACUGGUGUACUUGAGUGGGCGAGAAGUAUGCGGAAUGCGUGGUGUAGCGGUGAAAUGCAUAGAUAUCACGCAGAACUCCGAUUGCGAAGGCAGCAUACCGGCGCCCAACUGACGCUGAAGCACGAAAGCGUGGGUAUCGAACAGG
rnacentral:rRNA from 1 species